rnacentral:rRNA from 1 species
CAGUCGCCACGGGAAUACGAAGGGUGCAAGCGUUAAUCGGAAUUACUGGGCGUAAAGCGUGCGUAGGCGGUUUGUUAAGUCUGCUGUGAAAUCCCCGGGCUCAACCUGGGAAUGGCAGUGGAUACUGGCAAGCUAGAGUGUGUCAGAGGAUGGUGGAAUUCCCGGUGUAGCGGUGAAAUGCGUAGAUAUGUGGAGGAAUACCGAUGGCGAAGGCAGCCCCCUGGGAUAACACUGACGCUCAUGCACGAAAGCGUGGGGAGCAAACAGGAUUAGAUACCCCCGUAGUCCCUGUCUCUUUACA